AGAGUUUGAUCCUGGCUCAGGAUGAACGCUAGCGAUAGGCCUAACACAUGCAAGUCGAGGGGCAGCAUAGAGUAGCAAUACUUUGAUGGCGACCGGCGCACGGGUGAGUAACACGUAUGCAACCUACCUACAUCAGGGGAAUAACCCGGAGAAAUUCGGACUAAUACCGCAUAAUACAGGGAUGCCGCAUGGUAAUAUUUGUUAAAGAUUUAUCGGAUGUAGAUGGGCAUGCGUUCCAUUAGCUAGUUGGUAAGGUAACGGCUUACCAAGGCAACGAUGGAUAGGGGAACUGAGAGGUUUGUCCCCCACACUGGAACUGAGACACGGACCAGACUCCUACGGGAGGCAGCAGUGAGGAAUAUUGGUCAAUGGACGAGAGUCUGAACCAGCCAAAUCGCGUGAAGGAAGACUGCCCUACGGGUUGUAAACUUCUUUUGUACAGGAAUAAAAGACAUUACGUGUAAUGUAUUGCAUGUACUGUACGAAUAAGCAUCGGCUAACUCCGUGCCAGCAGCCGCGGUAAUACGGAGGAUGCGAGCGUUAUCCGGAUUUAUUGGGUUUAAAGGGUGCGCAGGCGGGAUUUUAAGUCAGCGGUGAAAUUUUCAGGCUCAACCUGAACACUGCCGUUGAAACUGGGAUUCUUGAGUAUGGAUGAAGUAGGCGGAAUUCGUUGUGUAGCGGUGACAUGCUUAGAUAUAACGAGGAACUCCGAUUGCGUAGGCAGCUUGCUAAGCCAUAACUGACGCUCAAGCACGAAAGCGUGGGGAUCAAACAGGAUUAGAUACCCUGGUAGUCG
rnacentral:rRNA from 1 species